GCAGUGCGGCGUGCUUACACAUGCAGUCGAACGGAAGGCCACAGCUUGCUGUGGUACUCGAGUGGCGAACGGGUGAGUAACACGUGGGUGAUCUGCCCUGUACUUCGGGAUAAGCUUGGGAAACUGGGUCUAAUACCGGAUAGGAAUCACAUGUGGGUGUGUGGUUGGAAAGCUUUUGCGGUAUGGGAUGAGCUCGCGGCCUAUCAGCUUGUUGGUGGGGUAAUGGCCUACCAAGGCGUCGACGGGUAGCCGGCCUGAGAGGGUGUACGGCCACAUUGGGACUGAGAUACGGCCCAGACUCCUACGGGAGGCAGCAGUGGGGAAUAUUGCACAAUGGGCGCAAGCCUGAUGCAGCGACGCCGCGUGGGGGAUGACGGCCUUCGGGUUGUAAACUCCUUUCGUCAGGGACGAAGCGUAAGUGACGGUACCUGGAUAAGAAGCACCGGCUAACUACGUGCCAGCAGCCGCGGUAAUACGUAGGGUGCGAGCGUUGUCCGGAAUUACUGGGCGUAAAGAGCUCGUAGGUGGUUUGUCGCGUCGUUUGUGUAAGUCCACGGCUUAACUGUGGGAUGGCAGGCGAUACGGGCAUAACUUGAGUGCUGUAGGGGAGACUGGAAUUCCUGGUGUAGCGGUGAAAUGCGCAGAUAUCAGGAGGAACACCGAUGGCGAAGGCAGGUCUCUGGGCAGUAACUGACGCUGAGGAGCGAAAGCAUGGGUAGCGAACAGGAUUAGAUACCCUGGUAGUCCAUGCCGUAAACGGUGGGCGCUAGGUGUGAGUCCCUUCCACGGGGUUCGUGCCGUAGCUAACGCAUUAAGCGCCCCGCCUGGGGAGUACGGCCGCAAGGCUAAAACUCAAAGGAAUUGACGGGGGCCCGCACAAGCGGCGGAGCAUGUGGAUUAAUUCGAUGCAACGCGAAGAACCUUACCUGGGCUUGACAUACACCAGAUCGGCGCAGAGAUGCGUUUUCCCUUGUGGUUGGUGUACAGGUGGUGCAUGGUUGUCGUCAGCUCGUGUCGUGAGAUGUUGGGUUAAGUCCCGCAACGAGCGCAACCCUUGUCUUAUGUUGCCAGCACGUGAUGGUGGGGACUCAUGAAAGACUGCCGGGGUUAACUCGGAAGAAGGUGGGGAUGACGUCAAAUCAUCAUGCCCCUUAUGUCCAGGGCUUCCCCCAUGCUACAAUGGUCCGGUACAACCG
rnacentral:rRNA from 1 species